rnacentral:rRNA from 1 species
GACGAACGCUGGCGGCGUGCUUAACACAUGCAAGUCGAACGGAAAGGCCCUGCUUUUGUGGGGUGCUCGAGUGGCGAACGGGUGAGUAACACGUGAGUAACCUGCCCUUGACUUUGGGAUAACUUCAGGAAACUGGGGCUAAUACCGGAUAGGAGCUCCUGCUGCAUGGUGGGGGUUGGAAAGUUUCGGCGGUUGGGGAUGGACUCGCGGCUUAUCAGCUUGUUGGUGGGGUAGUGGCUUACCAAGGCUUUGACGGGUAGCCGGCCUGAGAGGGUGACCGGCAAAAUGGGGACGGAGAUACGGCCCAGACCCCUACGGGAGGCAGCAGGGGGGAAUAUGGAACAAGGGGCGGAGGCUGGAGGCAGAAACGCCGCGUGGGGGAGGACGGCUUUCGGGUUGUAACCCGCUUUCGCCUGGGACGAAGCGUGAGUGACGGUAAUGGUAAAAGAAGCACCGGCUACUUACGU